UUAUUGUGGCUUAAUAACAUUUUUAUUUUAAUAUUUUUAUUGAGCUUUGUACCACGAUUUUGUUUAUUAGGGAAAAUUUAAAGGGCAACAAAGUCUAA